rnacentral:rRNA from 1 species
GGUUUGAUCCUGGCUCAGAUUGAACGCUGGCGGGAUGCUUUACACAUGCAGCCGGAACUGGGCAGCACGGACUUUGGUCCAGUGGCGAGUGGCGAACGGGUGAGUAAUGGCUUCCGGAACGUGCCUAGUAGGGGGAUAACUACGCGAAAGCGUAGCUAAUACCGCAUACGCCCUUCGGGGGGGAAAGCGGGGGACCUUCGGGCCUCGCACUAUUAGAGCGGCCGAUAUCGGAUUAGCUAGUUGGUGGGGUAACGGCUCACCAAGGCGACGAUCCGCAGGCUGGUCGAGAGGACGACCAGCCACACUGGGACUGAGACACGCACGACUCCUACGGGAGGCAGCAGUGGGGAAUUUUGGACAAUGGGGAAACCCUGAUCCAGCCAUCCGGUGCAGCAUGAAGGCCUUGCCAGCACUUUUGGCAGGAAAGAAACGGCACGGAUAAUACCCCGCAACUGACGGCAUUCUGGGCACCUGGCCACCACGCCAGCAGCCGCGGUAAUACAAGGCAGCACCGGAAUUACUGGGCGAAGCGUGCGUGCAGGCGGUUCGGAAAGAAAGAUGUGAAAUCCCAGAGCUUAACUUUGGAACUGCAUUUUUAACUACCGAGCUAGAGUGUGUCAGAGGGAGGUGGAAUUCCGCGUGGCAGUGAAAUGCGUAGAUAUGCGGAGGAACACCGAUGGCGAAGGCAGCCUGGGAUAACACUGACGCCUGCACGAAAGCGUGGAGCAAACAGGAUUAGAUAAUUCUGUAGUUCCACGCUCCCAAAACGAUGUCAACUAGCUGUUGGGGCCUUCUCGGCCUGGUAGCGCAGCUAACGCGUGAAGUUGACCGCCUGGGGAGUACGGUCGCAAGAUUAAAACUCAAAGGAAUUGACGGGACUCCGCACAAGCGGUGAUGAUGUGGAUUAAUUCGAUGCAACGCGAAAACCUUACCUACCCUUGACAUGUCUGGAAUCCCGAAGAGAUUUGGGAGUGCUGCAAGAGAACCGGAACACAGGUGCUGCAUGGCUGUCGUCACCGUGUCGUGAGAUGUUGGGUUAAGUCCUGCAACGAGCGCAACCCCUUGUCAUUAUUGCUACGAAAGGGCACCUAAUGACUGCUGGUGACAAACCGAGGAAGGUGGGGAUGACGUCAAGUCCUCAUGGCCCUUAUGGGUAGGGCUUCACACGUCAUACAAUGGUCGGGACAGAGGGUCGCCAACCCGCGAGGGGGAGCCAAUCCCAGAACCCGAUCGUAGUCCGAUCGCAGUCUGCAACUCGACUGCGUGUCGGAAUCGCUAGUAAUCGCGGAUCAGCAUGUCGCGGUGAAUACGUUCCCGGGUCUUGUACACACCGCCCGUCACACCAUGGGAGUGGGUUUUACCAGAAGUAGUUAGCCUAACCGUAAGGGGCGAUUACCACGGUAGGAUUCAUGACUGGGGUGAAGUCGUAACAAGGUAGCUC